AUUCCAUUGUGUAUAUAUACCACAUUUUUUUUUGAUCCAUUCAUCUACUGAGGGGCAACUAGGUUGGUUCCAUAUCUUAGUUAUAGUAAAUAAUGCUGCAAUGAACAUAGUUGUGAUGGUAAGUUUAGUGUAGCCUUGUUUCUGAUUUCUUGGGAAAAGGCCCAA